AAAGGGAGACCUAAUUCAGGUAGGAGACGAAAAAAAAGUAGUCCCUACCAGAAAUCAAUCCCAAAAGGUCGGAGCGAGGCGAAAUUGGCUUUCAAACUAGGUUCUGGGUUCAAACAAGACCUGAAUCAGGAACAAGGGCUAUUAGCUCAGGUGGUUAGAGCGCACCCCUGAUAAGGGUGAGGUCCCUGGUUCGAGUCCAGGAUGGCCCACCUGUACAGGUGGCAAAAAGAAAGAAAAGAAGCGAGGAAUCAGCACCUUAUCUUACUGACAUAGUAAGAGAGAAUGCUGGCUCUGAGUAAAGAGUCCAGAGGAACCUUGAAAACUGCAUAGAGCUAGGUGAAAAAGCCAAAAAAGAAGACCGCAAG
rnacentral:tRNA from 1 species